GGACGUGAUCCUACAAAUCCAGAUCAGUUAUGCUCUCAGGCGGCUACAGAGCGUCUGGCGGCAUAUGGUGACCAAAUGAUUGCUCGCCAUGGAGAGGGUUAUGAUUGGAGAAACGCGCCUAUUGAUCCUGAGGCCGUUUACAGUAGUGGUGGUGGAAAACCUCAUGGCCGGUAUCCAUUAUUCGACAAAGUCAUUGACUCGA